GACGAACGCUGGCGGCGUGCCUAAUACAUGCAAGUAGAACGCACAGUUUAUACCGUAGCUUGCUACACCAUAGACUGUGAGUUGCGAACGGGUGAGUAACGCGUAGGUAACCUGCCUGGUAGCGGGGGAUAACUAUUGGAAACGAUAGCUAAUACCGCAUAAUAUUGAUUAUUGCAUGAUAAUUGAUUGAAAGAUGCUAUUGCAUCACUACCAGAUGGACCUGCGUUGUAUUAGCUAGUAGGUGAGGUAACGGCUCACCUAGGCGACGAUACAUAGCCGACCUGGGAGGGUGAUCGGCCCACCUGGGACUGAGACACGGCCCAGACUUCUACGGGAGGCAGCAGUAGGGGAUCUUCGGCAAUGGACGAAAGUCUUACCGAGCAACGCCGCGGGAGUGAAGAAGGGUUUCGGAUCGGAAAGCUCUGUUGUAAGAGAAGAACGGGUGUGAGAGUGGAAAGUUCACACUGUGACGGUAUCUUACCAGAAAGAGACGGCUAACUACGUG
rnacentral:rRNA from 1 species